rnacentral:misc_RNA from 1 species
CUAAGGAGCAUUCUCCAGUCGAUGUCCCGAACAGUCGGGAUCGUCGCUGGCAGAGCCACUACGAACUCGAAUGUAGUUCGGUGGAGCUCAUGGGUGGAACGCUGACAACCUCUUCCGUGUAUGGCCGGAGCCGAGUCUUCGGUCGCGGUUGAUAUAUCGACACACUGUUGGGUCCUGAAAGAACAGACGUUCUUUCCAGGCAAAAAAUACGAUCCGGGAGUUUCUCCGGUCAUACCGCUCUCGGCCCUCUUGGGGGUUGGGGUGCUGGUGUCGGGACAGGAUUCUUUCGGGUGUGUUGUUUGAGAACUGCACAGUGGACGCGAGCAUCUUUGUUUGUAAGUGUUGAAGAGCGUUC